GGGAAUGGAGCAUGGGUAGAAAUAUUAUCUUAUUCCCCAAUUCUCUCCUCUCCUCUCCUCUUAAUCCCUGUAUCCCUCUAUUUCUCUUCUAUUCCCAAUCCCUAUCUAUCCCUCCUACCUGUCAAUUCUUAUCCCCCAUAAUUUCUUCCUCAAUUCCCAUCAAUUCUGCGAAGUAAUUGCACAGUCCCAUCGGAAUUGGUGCCGGAACCCACCAUCAUCCCCGUCGCCGUCCUCGCCUCGGCAAAGUAUCGUCAUCGGCGGGUUGCAACGGGUCCGGGAUAUUACACUCUGGUGAGCAUUUAAUUCUAACAAAUUUUUAAAAUUGCUAACGAAAGGACUGAAAUCAAAGGAUUUGUAAGUUGAGAGAUGUAAAUCAAAUAAAAAAAACAAAAAUACAAAGUCUACAAUCUUUACAAUUGUCGAUCCAAGACGCAGAGUAUAGUUCGCGUAUUUUAGUUUUUAGUUAAAAAAAAAAUCAAAAAAAUAUUUGGACGAGACGAGCUGGAAAAAAGUGGACAUUGGAUGGCGGAAGUUAUAGGGUUAGCAUUGCUCAUUUUUUUUAAAAAAAAAAUCACGGCAUUUAAACCGAAAACAAUUGGGGAAUUAACUCCUAUAAAUAUUAUUUUAGAAUCUAACCCUCAUUCCAUGCAAGAGUAACACCGGCGCUAGUUAGCAAAAUUUAAGAUUAGUUAGUUGCCACAAGAAGAUGGCGAAUCAUUCGGUGCCUUUUGAAUAGAAGACAACUUAAUAAUUUAUUACCUACUUAAUUUCAUCCGCCUAUUUAUAAGCUUUAUUGUGUUUCUCAUGCAGUAAAUUAGAAGAGAUAAUUUUCUUUGUGUUCUAAAGCUUUACAAAAUUAGGUGUUGAGCAUAAUUAAGUGUUUAAUUUGUAACUUCGUUGGAUAGAAGAAUCUAGUAACCUAUUGGGUAAUUAAAUUUCAACCAACUAGAGUAACUCGCCAAAGGAAAAAAAAAAAAAAAAGGAAAAAAAAAAAGAUACGCCUCUCCAAUAAUCACUGCUGAAAGAUUGACAUGAAUUUGGUCGCAAAAUCUGAAUCAAAACCAAACUUACACAGACUGAAAACUGAGUUUGUUAGUUAAUUUGUUUUUCUGUCUUCAACACAUAAAGAAAUUUAAUUUCUUUCUGAAAAUUGUAAAGAAAUUAAAAGUAAAGCAGCUGUUGGAUGUAGUUGUAAGUUGAUGCGUGCUGAAGUACAGCAGCCCUUUUUUUUUCCUUUUACAAUGAGUCGGCCGCACCGACCAAAUUUACUCUCAAAAUCGAUGUACAGCCCUCAAUAAAAACUUAAGAAGUUUAACAAAAUUUCAAGUAUAAAUAACUUUAGACCUGGGAUACUUUGUCUACUUCAAAGAAGCUCAUCAACUUCAUCAGAUCAUGAGAUUUGCUAGUUGUGCAGAUAAAGUGAAGAGAAACAAAUUGCUAUCUUGCCAUCAUAGAACACACAGAUUAUUACUCUUUAACCUUCGCGCACUUCGCUAAUUAAACAUACAUCUCCAAAUCUCAAUCUUCAAAAUAUAUAAUGUAAUAUAUUAUCCUUCCUUGCAAAGAAAUCAAAUUAGUCCCACAUUCUUAUGCUCGCUAAUUGGUCUCCUAGGGAAGGUUAAUUAAGCAGUGAAACAAAAUAACCAGUAAAAUUAAGCUACACAAAGCAGUAAAACCUUAACCAUCCUUUCUAACAAGGCUGAAAUGGAUAGACUAAAAUUACAGGACUCAACUUAUAUACGAUACAGUCAAAAUUGGCCAUAAAAAAUUGUCGAAAGCAUGUUUUAAUAUUUAAAUAAUCAUUAUCACAUUUGUCUGACCUUUUUUUUUUAUCAAAUCACAAAACCUUGUUUUUUUUACAUUCUUUACUUUUUUUUUUUUUAGACACUUCAUAUCAUUUUAUAUUAUAUUAAUUCGGUUUAUUUUUUAAGUUUGCAGACAAAUUUUUUUAUUAUUAUUUUAACUCUACGAAAGACAUGAAAAAAACGGCAUUAGACAUCUGGAGAUAAUAACCUAUACGUCUGUUAUUAAAGAGGUAGGCUUUCCGACACCUCAUCCCCACAGUUGCUCGGCUUAUGCUCGCUCGACCCGAGUAAAUUAUUUGCUCGGCUUAUGCUCGACCCGAGUAAAUUAUUUGCUCGGCUUAUGCUCGAUCCCAAAUCCCAAAUCCCAAAAUCCCAAAAAUCCCCAAAUCCCAAAUCCCAAAAUCCCAAGUCCCAAGUCCCAAGUUGUAUAUUUCAUAAAUCCGAAUCCUGAGGGACACGGAAUGAGAAUGACGUACAUAACGUAAAAAAAAAAAGAAAAAAAGAUAACGGUUUAAUUACAUUUUAGAAAUACCUACUUUAACAGGAUUUUUAUUAAUUAAAUGACAAACUAAGGACGUGUUCAUCGUUUAGAGUAUCGGGCCACUCGAACAAAUCAAAACAGAUGAUUGACUACUUCAACAACUCGGAUCAAAUUUGAAACCAAAUCUUACACAAAGUUUGGAAAAAAUAAAAAGAAAAAAGAAAAGAAAGUCGUCGUAUUAAUCAUGGGAAUUCGAACACUCGAAUAAAAGUCACCAUAUUUAAUAUAAGUUUAAAACAAUUUCAAAUAUACAAAAAAAUUAUGUCCAACAUAGUUAAACCCUCAUUUAAAUUAUCCACGUACGAGACAGUUAUUCCGAGCUGACUGAGCAACAUUUUCCUUUUAUUCUCGUUUUGACGUUGUCGUGCGUACUUGAACGUUGGUUGUAGGACGUCAAAGUAUGAAAAUGAUAGAAACGUGAAAGAUUUGUUUGAAUUCUAAGUAAUUGCUGNUUGACACCCCUACUCCACAGCCUUUCGGAUGGAGAAAUUAUUGUCUGCAUAUCCAAUAAUAGAGGUCUACAGAUUACGGAAAAAAAUGUACAGAAAGCAUCUCAAUUUUAUUAUUAUUUUUUUAAACAGACGUUUGAAUUUUUUAUUUGGCUUAAUUAUAUUAUAUUUUACUAUACUUCACAGAUUUUUUUUUUUUUCAUUUCUUACAUUUUUUUUGUUCCAAAACACUAAACUAUUUUUUUUUUUCCAGUCUGUUUACACUAUUACUAAUAAAUUUAUAAUUUUGUACGAAAGCUGUUAAAAAAUACCGGUUAAAACUGACAUAGCAUAUAUUCAACUCAUUUUGACAUGAAAAUAAUAAAAUAAAUAAAAAUUAUAAAAAAAAUAAAAAUAACUUGAUAGAAGCUUUCAAUGAGUCUAUCAGAGAGAUUCCCUUUAUAUUUAUUUUCUAUUUUUUAACUAGUAUUUCUUAAUAAGUUGUUAAAAUUUUUCUAAAAUAAUAGAUUUAUUAAAAGUAAUGUAGUGAUUGAUAAGAAAAAAUUAGUUUAGUAAUAUCUAUAAAAAAAUAGUAAAGGGUAGAAACCAAAAAUAAAUCUAAAAUAUAAUGUAAAGAUUGAUAAAACAUAAUAAUACAAUAAUGUCUUUGAAAAAAAAGUAUAAUAUAGCAAGUAAAGUCUAAUACUGAAAGUACAGUAUAGUAGAGUGUAAUAAGUCUUGAAAGAAAUCUAUACUUAUAUAUCUAUAUCUAUACUUUUUUUUACUACAUUAAAGGAGGGUUUGGGGACCAUGGGGUGACACGUGUCCCCCCACCUCCCUCUUCUCUCACUAUACAUAUAUUUCAUAUAUAUAGUAUCUAUAUAAAUAAAAUUUUAAAUUUUCGAUAUCAAAAUUUGAAAUUUUGAUACUUUCAAAUUUCAAAGUUUUAAUUUCCAAAUUUUAUAUUCCAAAUUUUAAAUUACAAAUUUUAAAUUUUAAUUUAUAAUAUUUAUUUUAAAUUUUAAACUUCAAAAUUUAAAAUUUGAAAUCCCUAAACUCUUUUUAUUUAAAUAAAAUUAACUAUUAAAUUAUUUUUAUAUAACUUUAUUUAAUUAAUAAUUAGACAUAAAAUUAUAUAAAAAAUAAAAAACUAAAGGUUAUUAUAAAAAUAUUUUUAUAUCCGCAGCAUCGCUAUUAAAUUAUUUUCAUAUAACUUUAUUUAAUUAAUAAUUAGACUUAUAAAAUUAUAUAAAAAAUAAAAAACUAAAAAUUAUUAUAAAAAUAUUUUUAUAUCCGCAGCAUCGCGCGGGUAUUUCACUAGUAUAAUACUGAAGCUGAACAUGAACAACCACUGCCACAAAUGGUCCCACAUCAUCAAAAUUCUGAAGCUCGUGAUUUUCCUCAAAUUAAGCAAAUGCAAUCAGUUUAAGCAGCAACUUAAGUGAUGUCCUGCAAUAUUCUUGCCAUAAUAGAACACACAAAUUACUAACUAAACAAAUUUCCACAAAUCUGGGUCUUCAAAAUAAGUAAUGUAAUUAAUUAUACCUCUCUACUAAGAAAUCAAAUUAGUCCCACCACUUGCACUCAAAUAUGCUUCAGCUUGCUAAUUGUUGGGUCUCCUAGGGAAGAUUAAUUAAGCAUUAAAACAGAAUAACCAGUAAGAUUAAGCUACAUUAAAGACGCUAAUCACAUUAUAUAUAUAGACUAUGUACAUGCAGUAGUCUUAUUCCAAUCCUGCACCAAGAAAAAAAAGGAGAAUGUACACAAAGCAAUAAAACUUUAACCAUCCUUCGUAACAAGGACGAAAUCAAUAGACUAAAAUAACAGGAGUCUUUUUAAUUCAUACAACACAGAGAACAAAAAGAAAAUAGAAAUACAUAGGCAGUUUAUUUUGGUCUUGUUACAUUUAUAUAGAGAAAUCGAUAUAGUGCUUAAUUCGUUCUCGAACCACUAAACAUAGAACAUAAGCAACAACACUACAAUUUUUUUGCGCAGCAUCUACCAAAUAUACUCCAAAUGUUGAUACAAUCUGCACUAAAAACUAAAACAGUUUUAACAAAAUUGAAAGCAUGAUUUAUACUACUGCUGAAAUUGAGUUACACAAAUUUAAUCUGGUGCCUAUUAUACUGCAAAAAAAAACAAAAGAAAAAAGAAAAACAAUAAUAAUCUGAAACACAUUUAGAGCAAUGUUUAACAACUUUUUUUUUGAGAAAAAAAUAGCAUGCUACCCGCUUCAUUCAUAUAGUAGGUGAAUUAAGCAACAUGGGUGAGGCAUCAAGGCCUCAAGGUUGAUGGAGCCAAAAAGGAAAAAACAGGAGAACAGAUGUUGUUUGCAAAGUACAGCUGAUACCUCUAUGCUGACUACGAGGUCUAACUAUAGCUCUACGGAUCAGGAAUACCCCACUGAGCUAUCAGAUGUUUGAUCUUAUGAGUCCCACGGAUCGGAUCGGCCUGGGACUUCGCAAAAAUGAUUCCAUUCCUAGUCACCCAAACCACCCACCAGCAAGCAAUAAUACCGCUUAAAUCAUUAUUCGAGACCUUCCGUCCUUUCCAUAUAUCCCACAGCUGGUGUGGGACCAGGCAAUAAUACCGCUUAAAUGUUUAACAACUUCAUCAGAUAAUAGACAGAAAAGUAAACAAGCUUAUGACCAGGCAAUGAGAUUGGUUAUUUGUGCAGGAAUAUUCAAACACUAAAUUAUAUUUAGGAUAGAUGAAUACAAAUUGAGGAGAAAUAAAAUUGAAGCACUUAACCUCCCUGCCUCAAAAGAUGGCAAUUUUGUUUUCAAAGAUUUACUGUUGAUUUGGCUACAGAGGACGCGAAAAAAAAAGAAAAAUGGAAAACAUGGAAUCUGACUCUAAUCCUGCACCAAGAAAACUGAAGAACACAAGCAUGUAGAAAGAAAUUAGUCUUUUUUUCACUUUUAAUUCCUAGAAAUAGAUUGAUAGAAAACUCAUAGAGAGCCAUAUAUUACUCCAGCACUAAUAAAAUAGGAGAACAUAAGCAGCAAAACUUUACUCUUAUUAUAUAUUCCUUAAUAAAGAAUUGAUAGAAAUAUGAGUGUUAUACCAUUACUACAGUCCUGCACCAAGAAAUUUAAGGAACUUCAAAAGCUUUUGUCACACUUCUCUCUUCCUUAUUAUGUUCUAACUCAUCAACUAGUCAUAUUUAAUUGUAGAAGGUAAUUGAUAGAGUGCAUAUAAUAUCAUCAUUACAUUUUUUGUUUUACAUGACUAAUUUAUUGCUUCAGUGUUCACGCCUAAUAAGAUAUAAUACCUGAACCACGAGCAUAGGAAAUCAAAGGCAAGAGAUACUGAAACAGAAAUUUUAUUUAAUUUCUAAUACAAAUGUGGAAGAUAUGUGAUGCAGAGGGUAAGCAAAUACUAUAAUAUCUUUGUAAUCACGCGCUGCGAGCACCAUGUCCUGUAAGGAGUGAUUAGCACUAUAAUUUCUUUUAUACAUGCACCCAAACCAUAAAUUAAGGGUACAAAAUAUAAAAAUUUGUUUUGAGGAUGCUAAUUAAAAGCAAACCAGAUUGCUCUUUCAUUGUCUGAAAAGAAAAAGGCUAGUAGUCCUGAAACAAAUGAAAUAACCUUGUUAGUUAAGAUCGAAUAAGACGUAGUUCAUUAAGACCAGAGUGAAUUGCAUUAAUUACAGAGGGUAGCAUGGGUAAGAUGAAGGGUGGUAAAGUGAACAUACAAUAUGCAUCAUCACCUUUGCAAAUGCUAAAAAAUCGUCAGAUCAGGGAUGUCGGCAAUCUUGGGCCAAUCAAGGCCUAUAUUCUCUUGGCAUCGCUCCUUCAACACAGGGUGACACCCGGUGAUGCAUAGAGUACGCAGUGAAGCAGGCAG
rnacentral:lncRNA from 1 species